CUUUAUGUGCUUAGGUGCAAUUAAUAGCGGCGAUUCCGUUAUUCCUUUUUGGUACGGCCUUUCACAAACGGAGUAUGGACAUAGGAACAACGACUACGAUCCGACAUACGAGGUAUUCCCCUACCAGUGAUAUCGUGCUACAUUCUCUCUGCUUUGGCAUCUAUUGUAAUAGCAAUUCUCCAUCUUACCUUCCGCUUGUAUUCUAAUUAGAAUGUGCUCUGAACAUGUCAUGCAUCAUCUUUAUGAAUUCAUUGUCAGCAGUUGAAUAUUAUUUUUGUAUUUUAGUAUUCAUAUGAAAUUUAUAUGCA